rnacentral:rRNA from 1 species
ACUAGGAAUAUUCCACAAUGGACGAAAGUCUGAUGGAGCGACACCGCGUGGAGGAUGAAGGUUUUCGGAUCGUAAACUCCUUUUGACCCGCAUAGCGCGGGUAGAAUAAACACCUACAAACUACGUGCCAGCAGUCGCGGUAAUACGUGGGGUGUAAGCGUUAUCCGGAUUUAUUGGGCGUAAAGCGUUUCGUAGGCGGUUUACUGCAUCUUGCUUCAAAUAUCUUGGCUCAACCAAGAAAAGGGGCAAGAGAUGAGUAAGCUAGGGUGAGGACGGGGAUGUUGGAAUUCAUGGUGGAGCAGUGAAAUGCGUUGAUAUCAUGAAGAACACCAAGGGCGAAGGCGAACAUCUAGACCUCUACCGACGCUGAGGAACGAAAGCUAGGGGAGCGAAAGGGAUUAGAUACCCUUGUAGUCC